AGGAGCUUGCUCCUUUGACGUUAGCGGCGGACGGGUGAGUAACACGUGGGUAACCUACCUAUAAGACUGGGACAACUUCGGGAAACCGGAGCUAAUACCGGAUAAUAUGUUGAACCGCAUGGUUCAAUAGUGAAAGAUGGUUUUGCUAUCACUUAUAGAUGGACCCGCGCCGUAUUAGCUAGUUGGUGAGGUAACGGCUCACCAAGGCAACGAUACGUAGCCGACCUGAGAGGGUGAUCGGCCACACUGGAACUGAGACACGGUCCAGACUCCUACGGGAGGCAGCAGUAGGGAAUCUUCCGCAAUGGGCGAAAGCCUGACGGAGCAACGCCGCGUGAGUGAUGAAGGUCUUAGGAUCGUAAAACUCUGUUAUUAGGGAAGAACAAACGUGUAAGUAACUGUGCACGUCUUGACGGUACCUAAUCAGAAAGCCACGGUAACUACGUGCCAGCAGCCGCGGUAAUACGUAGGUGGCAAGCGUUAUCCGGAAUUAUUGGGCGUAAAGCGCGCGUAGGCGGGUUUUUAAGUCUGAUGUGAAAGCCCACGGCUCAACCGUGGAGGGUCAUUGGAAACUGGAAAACUUGAGUGCAGAAGAGGAAAGUGGAAUUCCAUGUGUAGCGGUGAAAUGCGCAGAGAUAUGGAGGAACACCAGUGGCGAAGGCGACUUUCUGGUCUGUAACUGACGCUGAUGUGCGAAAGCGUGGGGAUCAAACAGGAUUAGAUACCCUGGUAGUCCACGCCGUAAACGAUGAGUGCUAAGUGUUAGGGGGUUUCCGCCCCUUAGUGCUGGCAGCUAACGCAUAAGCACUCCGCCUG
rnacentral:rRNA from 1 species